CUCCACUCCCAGUUUGGUCCAGGUCACAGCUAGGCAGCCCCUGGUUUGGCAAAGAGGAGAAAAGGUUCUCAUGAGGACUUCAGCAGAAGAGAAUCUUCCUUUAAGAGAAGUCUCUAUUUAAUUGAAAAGAAGGGAUUAGAGAGAGGAUACAAUUUGAUACAAUGUGCUGCAGUGCAUUGAAAGAGGAUGUAUGACUGAAAGAAAAAAAGAAAAAAGAAAAGAAAAAGA
rnacentral:lncRNA from 1 species